rnacentral:lncRNA from 1 species
GAAUAGGAAAGAGUGAGAAGAACUUGUAAGAGCAUUGCUUUCUUCCUAGCUUACCUGCAGUUGAUACAAUAAAGGAUAUGUAAAGGUGAACAAGGACUCCAUUUCUUAAUCUAUUUUUUUAUAUCUUUAGGUCUUUAAUGCAUUACCUAAGGAGAAUUUAGGUAUUAUUUUCAUUGCACGUAGUCUGUAGGAGUGAACAAACUUCUCACAUUUAGCCCAAUGCUGGGUACAGCACUCAUGACAAGGUUGUAGCUGGAAAAUAUUACAGCUCCUCUUGUGGGAUUCUUGUGAGUCUUUUGUAGUGUUUUGGGGAGGACUGAAAACUUGUGUCUGCAAAGACGUGAACUCCAAAUUCAUGUGAAAAUGAGAGCAAAACAAAGCCAAAUCUUUACAAUCCAGAACAGUGAUCUUUUCUUAUCUCUAUAGCAAAAGAAGCCAGAAAUAAGAGGAGUACUUCUGUGGUACACAACAGUUGUAGUACCCUGGGACAAGAGAAAACUGUUCUCUUCAGUCUUGUCAGAAGAGGGUAUAAUGGACCUUGCUGCAACAAGCAUAGGAGCUCCAUAGAAGCUGCUGCUCCCCACCUCCGAGUUGACUGGGGCUGAACUACUGAAAAAGAAAAGAAAAGCUAUAAAUAAUAGUGAGAGAUGGUGAAUACCUAACCAUCUCUUAAAAGCAGGAAUUUAAGAGAAUAAGUAAUUGAUAAAUGGAGUUAAGAUCGAAAGGAAAAAAAUCCACUGUUGCAGUCAAUAGAGGUAAGAAGUUUUUCAAGUACAUUAGGAACAAAAAUUAGAGUAAUGACACAGAUCUGAUACGGGAU